UGCAAGUCGAACGAGUUCCCGUUGAUUGACGUGCUUGCACUGAUUUCAACAUUGGAACGAGUGGCGAACUGGUGAGUAACACGUGGAAAACCUGCCCAGAAGCAGGGGAUAACACUUGGAAACAGGUGCUAAUACCGUAUAACAACAAAAACCGCAUGGUUUUUGUUUGAAAGGUGGCUUCGGCUAUCACUUCUGGAUGGUUCCGCGGCGCAUUAGCUUGUUGGUGGGGUAACGGCUCACCAAGGCGAUGAUGCGUAGCCGACCUGAGAGGGUAAUCGGCCACAUUGGGACUGAGACACGGCCCAGACUCCUACGGGAGGCAGCAGUAGGGAAUCUUCCACAAUGGACGCAAGUCUGAUGGAGCAAUGCCGCGUGAGUGAAGAAGGGUUUCGGCUCGUAAAACUCUGUUGUUGAAGAAGAACGGGUGUCAGAGUAACUGUUGACAUCGUGACGGUAUUCAACCAGAAAGCCACGGCUAACUACGUGCCAGCAGCCGCGGUAAUACGUAGGUGGCAAGCGUUGUCCGGAUUUAUUGGGCGUAAAGCGAGCGCAGGCGGUUUCUUAAGUCUGAUGUGAAAGCCUUCGGCUUAACCGAAGAAGUGCAUCGGAAACUGGGGAACUUGAGUGCAGAAGAGGACAGUGGAACUCCAUGUGUAGCGGUGGAAUGCGUAGAUAUAUGGAAGAACACCAGUGGCGAAGGCGGCUGUCUAGUCUGCAACUGACGCUGAGGCUCGAAAGCAUGGGUAGCGAACAGGAUUAGAUACCCUGGUAGUCCAUGCCGUAAACGAUGAGUGCUAGGUGUUGGAGGGUUUCCGCCCUUCAGUGCCGCAGCUAACGCAUUAAGCACUCCGCCUGGGGAGUACGACCGCAAGGUUGAAACUCAAAGGAAUUGACGGGGGCCCGCACAAGCGGUGGAGCAUGUGGUUUAAUUCGAAGCUACGCGAAGAACCUUACCAGGUCUUGACAUCUUCUGCCAAUCUUAGAGAUAAGACGUUCCCUUCGGGGACAGAAUGACAGGUGGUGCAUGGUUGUCGUCAGCUCGUGUCGUGAGAUGUUGGGUUAAGUCCCGCAACGAGCGCAACCCUUAUUAUCAGUUGCCAGCAUUCAGUUGGGCACUCUGGUGAAACUGCCGGUGACAAACCGGAAGAAGGUGGGGAUGACGUCAAAUCAUCAUGCCCCUUAUGACCUGGGCUACCACCUUGCUACAAUGGACGGUACAACGAGUUCCAAAAUCCCGAGGCUAAACUAAUC
rnacentral:rRNA from 2 species